rnacentral:rRNA from 1 species
GACGAACGCUGGCGGCGUGCCUAAUACAUGCAAGUCGAGCGGACCUCUUCGGAGGUCAGCGGCGGACGGGUGAGUAACACGUGGGCAACCUGCCUGUAAGACUGGGAUAACACCGGGAAAACGGUGCUAAUACCGGAUAAUCCUUUUCCUCACAUGAGGGGAAGCUGAAAGACGGUUUCGGCUGUCACUUACAGAUGGGCCCGGGGCGCAUUAGCUAGUUGGUGGGGUAACGGCCCACCAAGGCGACGAUGCGUAGCCGACAUGAGGGGGUGAUCGGCGAACAUGGGACUGAGACACGGCCCAGACUCCUACGGGAGGCAGCAGUAGGGAAUCUUCCGCAAUGGACGAAAGUCUGACGGGGCAACGCCGCGUGAGCGAAGAAGGCCUUCGGGUCGUAAAGCUCUGUUGUCAGGGAAGAACACGUACCGGAGUAACUGCCGGUACCUUGACGGUACCUGACCAGAAAGCCACGGCUAACUACGUGCCAGCAGCCGCCGUAAAAC